GAUCAUGGCUCAGGAUGAACGCUGGCGGCGUGCCUAACACAUGCAAGUCGAGCGGAGAUAAGUUGAAGCCUAGCGAUUCUUAUCUUAGCGGCGGAUGGGUGAGUAACACGUGGGUAACCUGCCCUGUACUGGGGAAUAACAGCUGGAAACGGCUGUUAAUGCCGCAUAUGCGCACGGAGCCGCAUGACUCCGGGCGGAAAGAUUUAUCGGUACAGGAUGGGCCCGCGCCGGAUUAACUAGUUGGCGGGGUAACGGCCCACCAAGGUGAUGAUCCGUAGCCGACCUGAGAGGGUGACCGGCCACAUUGGGACUGAGACACGGCCCAAACUCCUACGGGAGGCAGCAGUGGGGGAUAUUGCACAAUGGGGGAAACCCUGAAUGCAGCGACGCCGCGUGAAGGAUGACGUAUUUCGGUAUGUAAACUUCUAUCAGCGGGGAAGAAGAUGACGGUACCCGACUAAGAAGCCCCGGCUAACUACGUGCCAGCAGCCGC
rnacentral:rRNA from 1 species